rnacentral:pre_miRNA from 1 species
UGGACAAAUUAUUGUAUUCGAUUGUAUUCAUGGCGCGAAAUAUGGGAUUACACUGUUUGUAAACGGAAAGUGAAUCAAUUAACAUAAUAGACUCCU